rnacentral:rRNA from 1 species
AGAGCGAACGCUGGCGGCAGGCCUAACACAUGCAAGUCGAACGGACCCUUCGGGGUUAGUGGCGGACGGGUGAGUAACACGUGGGAACGUGCCUUUAGGUUCGGAAUAGCUCCUGGAAACGGGUGGUAAUGCCGAAUGUGCCCUUCGGGGGAAAGAUUUAUCGCCUUUAGAGCGGCCCGCGUCUGAUUAGCUUGUUGGUGAGGUAAUGGCUCACCAAGGCUACGAUCAGUAGCUGGUCUGAGAGGAUGACCAGCCACAUUGGGACUGAGACACGGCCCAAACUCCUACGGGAGGCAGCAGUGGGAAUCUUGCGCAAUGGGCGAAAGCCUGACGCAGCCAUGCCGCGUGUAUGAUGAAGGUCUUAGGUUGUAAAGCUCUUUACCCGAGAUGAUAAUGACAGUAGUCGGAGAAUAAGCCCGACUAACUCCGUGCCAGCAGCCGC